CUCUCGCAUGUGACUGACUUUCUCUCGGUCUCACCUAAGCUGGUGAAGCUGUAUUAUUACUGCUAAGGCUAAGCAGCGGCGUAGCCAGGGUUUUUAACAGGGAGGGGCCCAAAAGGUCCUUUCAAGAAAUUUUCUCCUGUAUUUUACAUUUACCGCAUUUCUGGCUGCUAGAAGGGGGGGGGCACCCCCCCUGGCUACUCCCUUGCUAAGUUAUCCUAUAAUAAUGCGAAUAACAAUUUAGCAUCGUUUUUCUCUAUCCCACAAGUACAAAACACUUGGUUAAAGGAAACAGAAAAUCCCGAAUGCCUCCUGACAUUUGCCUAAAAAAAUGUGAUGUUUAGAAACUCGUUUGAGUUUCACUGCUAGUAAACUACUCGAUUCUAAUACCAAAAACAUUUUUUCUAAGUCCAACUAGUAUAAUGAAAUUAAAGCUUAUUUCUACUUAAAAAUGAUACUGACUAUAAGUGCCCCACUUAAAUGUAACUUAGAAAUACUAUUUGAUUUAAGUAACAUCUUGUAUUUGUCUUGAAUGUAUUUAAAUUCCUUAUUUCGUCCAGUAUUAUCUUAUUUUCGUUUGAAACACUCUUGUUUAACAUAAAAUAGCAUUGUUCAAGCGGCCGCCCUUUAUCUGUACUAGAAAAGGAUACCACUUUACACAUUCUGGUGCGCGUCCACCAGUCUCAUACUUUUUAAUACAAAAAUGACCAGCAUAAAUAUUAUAUAUUUUUUUAUUUCUACCAAAUGUACAAAUGUAUAGUGAAACAUUAUAAUGAUAAUACAACAUGGUUAGGCAUAUUCAGUGUUUGUCAGUUAUGUAGAUGGUACUGUCCGAUAAAUCUAGAUUGUUUUGUAAACAUAAACAACAACAUACUGCGCUUUAAUCAGUAAAAAAAUACUGUCGCGAAUGCAAUUUAUAUAACACUUGCUAUUCUUGCUAUAACAACUGAACAAAAUGACUGGUUGACUUUUUCGCUAGGUGUUUCACUAAACAAUAUUUUUGAGGAACGACAUCCUCUAAAAUUCAGAAUAAUCGUUUGAAUAAAUUUUAACAUUGCCUGAAUGAAAAAAAGAAUUAGCGUACCCACCAGCAACCUAUAAAAAUAUUUCUUCUCUUCCGGUGCCCAUAUAUGGGCAGUAGGAAUCCUACCAAUUCUUACCGCAGCGACGUCAACGUCGACGUCGAUGAACACAUUACCCACUUGGCUCAAGUUGAUGCCUGAGUGACAUGGCCGAGCCGGAGAUUAUAUCUCAGCCCAGCUAGCAGUGGAAAUGAAAGUGGAUACACAGCCUAGGAGAAUGAUGUUGCAACCCUAUUCCAAGAAUCAAAGCUUGAGCUGGCGGCGGUUCCGGUCAAGAAACAAUGAAAACGCAAUUGUCGGUUUAUGGUAGUCGCGGGACAAAACAGACUUCCAUUAAUACAGGGCGAACGAGGCAGCGGAGGUCCUAGAGAGAGUAGAUAGGGGCCAAUCGCACGAGAAUGCAUGUUUCCUGUAGACCGUGGUGCAGACGCCUAAAAUUCAUCCCCUCCAGAAGCCCGCGGACUUAUACCAGGCAUAUCACUUGUCGCUCUUCGGCAACAGUACUUCCGGCAGAAGGGAAGAGAAUGCUCCACGUACAACAUUGGCCCCUCCUAUUACAAGGAGUAGAGGCAGAGGGGUGACGGUAUCCGCGGCGGUUGGCUGGCCAACCGACGAAAGUAAUGAAUUCGCUAUGUAAAACUCUGAUGCGUUUAUUCGUCGAUGUAUAUUAAAUUCAUCCAAUAUAA